AUAGAGAAAGUGGAUGAGUCUCGGCACCGCGCAGCGGUGUCGAGGCUCCAUGCACGGGCCAUCCUGCUCCAGAUCAGGAAAGCUCUUAUUUGAGGUUGAGGCCUUUGGGGUGUAUUGUUUCUAAUUUUCUUAUCCAUGUCCUUUCAGCUCGGGUUCUCUGUGUGGCGUUCCAGCUGGGGUCCAUCUGGAUGAUCGUGGCCCGGACAGACGACCAUCCAUGGGCCAGAAAAUGGCUGACCAGAGGCGUGUGGGUUUCCCUCCGUCUCUGGAUGUUGUAGCGGUGUUGGGUGAACCGCUGUAAGAGCGUGUUUCUGGUCUCACCCACAUACUGUAGGCCGCACAUGAGACAUGAAAUAAGAUACACGCAAUUUUUGGAGUGUGGAUUACCACAUGCCAUGGUCCUAUGGACUGUUUUAUUGACAUGGCUGUGGAUCCAGGUGGCAUGUUUGAAAAAUUGGCCAUAGCCUCUGGGUUUUGAGGUCGAUAGGGGCUUAAUUUUGGCUGUCACCAGAUAGUCCUGGAGGUUUUUGUUUUUCCUAUAGGCCGCUAUGAACCUGUGGUUAUUUAGGAGUCCUGGAUCAAUGAUUUUUUGUUGAAAAUUGUCCUUGAUUUUUCUGCACAGGGCGAUUGCUGGCUUGGAAUAGGUGGUGACGAAGGGGAGUACAUCCGACGUGUCUACUGGUUUUGUUUCCAGAAAGGUGCUGAGUGCCUUCCGCCGGAAGGAGCGUACAUAGCCCCUGGUGGCGAGAGCUCUGAAAAGCGUUUUUGUGGCCGUCAUGAAGUCGCUUUUGUGGGUGCAGAUACGGUGGAAACGGAGUAAUUGUGAUUUCAAUAGGCCCCUGUGGUGGUAUCCAGGAAAUCGACCGACGUGGUGCUAGUGGUGGACUUCAGUGUGAUGGACGGGUUGUGAUUAUUCAAGGUUGCCAGGGCGGAGGUCUCCCAUUCGGCCAUGAAGAUAUUGGCAUAUGCCGGUGCAAAUUUUUUACCCAUGGCAGUGCCUUUAAUUUGUAAAUAAAAUUUAUUGUCAAAUUCAAAAUCAUUCCUCCUCAGGUUGAUUGCCAGGAGUUGUAAUAGUUCCUUAUCAGGUCUCUUUUUGUCUGGAAAUUUUAUGAAUAUGUUUUUUAUGGCCUGAAUGCCUUCAUCAAUAUCAAUAUUGGUGUAUAAACUGUCGACAUCCAUCGUGAACAGGAUGGAGCCGGGGGGGGAUAUGGAGUUGUUUGACAGUAUUGACAAAGUGGUACGUGUCCUUGAGAUAGCCGAAGUGUCUGUUAGAAAGUGGAUUGAUAUAAUAAUCAAUAAAUUGGGCCGUGUAGUAGGUCUCACUGUCACAAUCAGAGACAAUCGGCCUCCCAGGUGGGAUUUCAAAGGGGACACUCCACUUUGAGGGCUCUUUAUGAAUCUUGGGGAGCAGAUAAAACAGUCUGGGCCGGGGGAUCGGAUUACCCAGCAGGUAAGUGUAUUGUUUUUUGUUUAUGAAUUUUUUAUCUAAUAAUGAUUUGAUAAUUGGUUGCACCAUUUUUUUAGUUUCAGGGUAGAUAGGUUCCUUUAAGACAGAAUAGUACUUUUUGUCUGUUAGCUGUCUGUUGCCUUCAAAUAAAUAUUGUUCCCUGUCCAUCACCACUACUGCACUGCCUUUAUCUGCUGGUUUUAUGAUUAUAUUUUUGUUUUCUUUUAGUUCCUUGAGGGCUUCAAUUUCCUCCCGGUUCAAGUUGUUCCUGAUUGGGAUUGGCUGGAAAUUGUUUUCAAAAUAAUGAAUAUCCGCUUGGAUGAGGUCAGUGAUUUCUGGUGGCAAAUUAGACAGGGGGGGGCUCCAAUCAGAUUUUUGGGUAAAGGGGGUGAAAAUCACAUCUUUUUUGUUUUGAAAAUAAACAUGGAGUUUGAUUCUCCUGUGAUAUUGCUGCAGGUCCCAUCUGCUCUGCUCAAUGAUGUGGCUCUGGCUCCCCCUAGUGGGGAUGAAAGAGAGGCCCCUGUCCAGGAGUGUGAACUGGGCCUGGGUUAAUUUGAAUGUCUGUGAUAACACCAGUACAUUUUUUGACCCCUCCUGAGAGUGCAGGCUUAUGGGGAUGAGCAUUUUAAAUACCCCGUCCAGUGGUCAAACAUGUGUUUGGCGGUGGCUUUUGUCCAGUGUAUGUUAUCUGCCCCAGUUUCAAAAGAUUUGGAGGGCAGUCUGGGGAUGAAGAGGCAGUUUUUUUGGAUUUGUGCGUUCAGGUGGACCAGGCAGGACUGCUCUUUGAGAGGUAAGUGACGGGAAUAAUUGAUUAAAGGGACCCAAACGGCCGCUUGA